rnacentral:rRNA from 1 species
UACGUAGGGUGCGAGCGUUAAUCGGAAGUACUGGGCGUAAAGCGUGCGCAGGCGGUUGUGCAAGACAGAUGGGAAAUCCCCGGGCUCAACCUGGGAACUGCAUUUGUGACUGCACGGCUGGAGUGCGGCAGAGGGGGAUGGAAUUCCGCGUGUAGCAGUGAAAUGCGUAGAUAUGCGGAGGAACCCCGAUGGCGAAGGCAAUCCCCUGGGCCUGCACUGACGCUCAUGCACGAAAGCGUGGGGAGCAAACAGG